CUACGGUCACAUCAAAUUGAAACAUCAGUUCUCGUACAAUCAUAGAAGUUAAGCAACGUCGAGCCAGGUCAGUACCUAGAUAGACGACCUUUUGGGAAUACCAGGUGCU